AUUGAACGCUGGCGGCAGGCCUAACACAUACAAGUCGAGCGGCAGCGGGAAAGUAGCUUGCUACUUUUGCCGGCGAGCGGCGGACGGGUGAGUAAUGCCUGGGGAUCUGCCCAGUCGAGGGGGAUAACUACUGGAAACGGUAGCUAAUACCGCAUACGCCCUACGGGGGAAAGCAGGGGACCUUCGGGCCUUGCGCGGUUGGAUGAACCCAGGUGGGAUUAGCUAGUUGGUGAGGUAAUGGCUCACCAAGGCGACGAUCCCUAGCUGGUCUGGGAGGAGGGUCGACCAGAGUGGAACUGAGAGAAGUUCCAGACUCCUACGGGAGGCAGCAGUGGGGAAGAUUGCACAAUGGCGGAAAGCCUGAUGCAGCCAUGCCGCGUGUGUGAAGAAGGCCAUAGGGUUGUAAAGAACUUUCAGCGAGGAGGAAAGGUUGGUAACUAAUAGCUGCCAGCUGUGACGUUACUCGCAGAAGAAGCACCGGCUAACUCCGUGCCAGCAGCCGCCGCCGUAA
rnacentral:rRNA from 1 species